rnacentral:rRNA from 1 species
UACGAAGGGGGCAAGCGUUGUUCGGAAUUACUGGGCGUAAAGGGCGCGCAGGCGGCCAUUCAAGUCAGGCGUGAAAGCCCCGGGCUUAACCUGGGAAGGUCGCGCUUGGGACUGGGUGGCUAGAGAUCGGGAGAGGAGAGUGGAAUUCCCAGUGGUAGAGGGUGAAAUUCGUAGAUAUUCGCAAGAACACCAGUGGCGAAGGCGGCUCACUGGCCCGAUACUGGACGCUGAGGCACCGAAAGCGUGGGGAGCAAACAGG